rnacentral:rRNA from 1 species
UACGAAGGGGGCUAGCGUUGCUCGGAUUGACUGGGCGUAAAGGGCGCGUAGGCGGUUCGUACAGUCAGACGUGAAAUUCCUGGGCUCAACCUGGGGGCUGCGUUUGAUACGUGCGGACCUGAGUGCGGAAGAGGGUCGUGGAAUUCCCAGUGUAGAGGUGAAAUUCGUAGAUAUUGGGAAGAACACCGGUGGCGAAGGCGGCGACCUGGUCCGAUACUGACGCUGAGGCGCGAAAGCGUGGGGAGCAAACAGG